rnacentral:rRNA from 1 species
UACGUAGGGAGCAAGCGUUGUCCGGAAUCAUUGGGCGUAAAGCGCGCGUAGGUGGCCUCGUAAGUCCGCUGUGAAAGUCCAAGGCUCAACCUUGGAAAGCCGGUGGAUACUGUGAGGCUAGAGUACGGAAGAGGCGAGUGGAAUUCCUGGUGUAGCGGUGGAAUGCGCAGAUAUCAGGAAGAACACCAAUGGCGAAAGCAGCUCUCUGGGACGGUACUGACGCUGAGACGCGAAAGCGUGGGGAGCGAACAGG